GUUUUUUAUUUCAAAAUACGUCUCUCCUUCGAAGUCAUUUUUUCCUUCUACUGAAUGUUCUUCUGAAAGAGAAUCUCAACAGAGCAAUCGGAAGGAGGAGAAAGCAGCCAGAGAGGAGAAGCUUAGAACAAGAGAAGGAUCUCAUUUUUGGGGGCAUGGUUACGUGAAUCGACGUGUUAUCUUGACCAAAUAUCUUCUUACUAUUUGUACAGUGCUGCAAAAUGUAUAGGCUGGUCACCACUUUUACUCAGUUUCAUUAUAUAUAUAUCGCAUCACAGCAGCAACCGCUGACCAUCCCCGAGGAAACCACCACGUCGCUCCCUACCGAAUCGUGAUCAUCCUGGGUAUCCCGUUUGCUACCAUGGGCGCUCAGAUAGAGCUCAUGGUACUCUCUUGAUGCACAUAAAACGAUCUUCUCAAUUUGUGUUUUGAGGAAUCAAUGGCCUGAAUCAUCAUAGUGCAGAUGCCAAUAACUUGCAGAGACACCAAGGUUAAUGCAAUUGUCGAGACAUUGGUGUAUUGUGAUGUAUUGUAUAAUAUGGUUCCAGCAUAUGACCAAGUGAGAGGGAUUGACAAUACAUUAUAUUUUCAUGCAAUCGCUACAAGAACAUUAUAUCAGAUCUUCUCAAUCAUGUACAGUCCUACCCAACAUUUUAUGUUGCUGCAUGUUGACUACACCAGUCUGAGGCAAGCUGCAGGAGUAUGGUACCUUUCUCUUCCAACGUCGCCAGACAAGUGACGUAGGAGGUCGUCAUUCCCCAUUAAGCAGCUACAGUUCUUCGCCGAUGAGGUAGUGGACGGCGUUUCUCCUGUUUGGGCCACCAGGUAUGGGUGUCCUACUUGGUGAAAGUCAUCACGGCAGAGGCUGAUUUCAUCUUCCGAAUGUGAGUGUUGCUUAAAUUUGAGCCCCAGAAUUCACUCUCCUGCAAUUUAAGCCUUAUUAUUGUUCCAACAGAAACAGAGCACAUGGAUAAUUUCCUCAAGAAAAUGUUGAAUUGUGAUCCUAAAUCGAUUCUUUAUUUAUGAUUAAUUGCAUGUUCAUAUUCUGGUUCUUGUUGCAUAUUGUGAUGCCAAAACUCUUUGAUUGGGAUAGCAACAGUAGCAAGGUGAAUGUACGAGUAUAUUGUUGUUAGUUUGAUUGUGUGUGGUAGGAUGGUUGGGUAUUUGGAAAGCAAAACUCUUUCCACUUUUGCAGCUAGGCUGGUGUGGAUCAUAUUGCUCCUGUCACAUUGAUUUUGUCGGCAAAAUUGAGGAACCUGGAGGAGAUGCCCUUAGAUAUCAUCGAAUACUACCGAUAAUAGCAAUUUUGCAUGAUGUGGAGACAUAACUAUCGCCUUCUUGAUGUUUUAUGCCUUUUUCA